rnacentral:rRNA from 1 species
GUAGUCUCGCACAGAUGCAUAUCAAUAAGCGGAGGAAAAGAAACUAACAAGGAUUCCCCUAGUAACGGCGAGUGAAGCGGGAAGAGCUCAAAUUUGAAAUCUUAAAGGGUUUCCCUUUACGAAUUGUAGUUUAAAGAAGUGUUUUCUGUUGAGGUUUUGGUAAAAGUUCUUUGGAAUAGGACAUCAUAGAGGGUGAGAAUCCCGUAUUUGACCUUUACUUUCAACUUUGUGAUACAUCUUUCAAAGAGUCGGAUUGUUUGGGAAUGCAGUCCAAAAUGGGUGGUAAAUUUCAUCUAAAGCUAAAUAUUGGCGAGAGACCGAUAGCGAGCAAGUACCGUGAGGGAAAGAUGAAAAGAACUUUGAAAAGAGAGUUAAACAGUACGUGAAAUUGUCAAAAGGGAAGCGUUUGACACCAGUGUUGUUUUUCUGAAAAUCAAUUAAAGAACUGUUUAUGCUAAGCUGUUUAGACUUUAUCAGCUAUCUGUUUAGUUUUGAGCUUUUCUUUAUGCACUUUUCAGUUAACAAGUCAACAUCAAUUUCUUUUGCUGUAAAAAAGCUUGAGGAAGGUGGCUUGAGAUUCGUCUUAAGUGUUUAUAGCCUCUUGCCUAUGCAGUCGGAGAGAUUGAGGUCUGCAGCGUAGAUCCUUCGGGGCUAAAUGCAUUUGUGCUAAGUUAUAGCAUUUUAUAGACAACUUGUUGACUAUGAUUUGUCUUGUAGCUUACUCGCUUAUGUUAUUUUACCUACGCUUAGGAUGUUGAAGACUCUACAGAGAUA